CUGCCGCUUCUUUGUCCUCAGGGGGAGGACUCCUCUCAUCGUUCCCCUGCUCCAGCAUGGAGUCCCUCCCAUGGGACACAGUCCUCCACCAACUUCUCCAACGUGAGUCCUUCCCACGGGCUGCAGUUCUUCACCAACUGCUCCACAUGGGGUCCCCCACGGGGUCACAAGUCCUGCCAGCAAACCUGCCCUGGCGUGGGCUCCCCUCUUCACGGGGUCACAAGUCCUGCCAGCAAACCUGCCCUGGCGUGGGCUCCCCUCUUCACGGGUCCACCGGUCCUGCCAGGAACUUGCUCCAGCGUGGGCUUCCCACGGGCCGCAGCCUCCUUCAGGUGCCUCCACCUGCUCCGGCGUGGGGUCCUCCACGGGCUGCAGGUGGAAUCGCUACACCCCCUCAUCCUUCCUCCAUGGGCUGCAGGGUGACAGCCUGCUUCACCAUGGUCUUCACCACGGGCUGCAGGGGGAUCUCUGCUCCGGCGCCUGGAGCUCCUCCUCCCCCUCCAUCUGCACUGACCUUGGUGU